CACAUUUCCAGCCGUGUCUUCCCUGAGUUCGCAGGGCGCAGUUUUGAGAGUUAUCCGCAUGUGAGUCAUUUUUGCUGUGUCAGCCAUGAAGUGUAUUUUGAUGCUUGCGUCCCUUCUGGUUUGUCUAAUUGCUGCUCAAGCGAUAAAAUGCUACACCUGUAACCCCAGAACAUGCAAUGACCCAUUCAACAAAGCUAAUGCCAACGAAACAGACUGUGGUCCUGUGUCCGAUGUAUGCGUGAAACAAAAAAACGGUGGCGUAGUCUUUGUUCGAGAUUGUGGCGUUUCAACCUAUUGCACAGACUCCCAGACCGGCGGUAAAGACAGCUGCAAGACUAUUUCCGUACCCGUAUUAGGAGACUCGACUACCUGCUGCUGCACCAAGGAGUUUUGCAACAGCGCCACCACUCGGCACGGCAAUUACGCACUGACAUUCGCCAUGUUACUUUUCCUCAAAGCUGCGUUCUAAACGUCAUCAGCAACCGUAGAUUGAUCUGUGUUAAAUGUUGUUUGAAUAAGUUCAAAAUAAAAUACUCAGAUUUAGAUAUUCAAUGUAGGACCGAAGGAGGGGAUCCACAAAGGCUAGUUUAUUGAAUAUCUUAUUAAUCCUACUUUCCGACGGUAUACCCGAAGUCAUACUGAAAUUGGAGGUUGUAGACUGCUAGGAUUCAAGUAGAAUCUCUAGAAAACAUGGUGAUGGACAAUGAUGCUUAGUGUGUUGUUUUGAGAUAAACUCCAGAAGGGGGACUUUUGGAUCCACUGACUAGUGUUUUUUUUAGAAUCUUAUUACGUAACGUACGUCACUUUGAAACAUCUUUUGUUUCGAAUGGUUGUUUGCAACAAACACAUGCGACAAUUGAGCAGAUUUAGCACGACCCAUGAAUUCUCACACAUGAUUGGGUUUAUAAGCAAAACUGUAGACGAUGUGACUGCAGGUUCGUACUUUGGGCCAAACGAGUUUAAUUCUGAGGGGACUUUUAAAUUUAAUGCAGUGUUCGAGGCUAGAUUGUGGUCACCUACAACAUUGGUUCCGUAGGCUACAACAGAUGAUAAUUGACAUGUGGGGAAGCCGCUGGUUCCGUCCAAUUCAUAUUUUUCACCGAAACACCCAGAAAAUGGAAGCGGAACAAGACUAACCUACAUGAUGUGUGUCUUUAAAUUUGCAUUUUGCAAACAAUAGUGGCAACAAAAUAUCUGUCUGUUUUCUUUGAGAAUCUGUAGUGAUUUGUAUUUUGGUUUUGAAUGUUGUCAUUUUCAGCUUUUGCUCGAUAUAAUUACGACCUUGAGAUUUGAAUUCUACUAGAGAAGGGAAAACAUACACGGUUGACGAUUAGCGUUUGAUCAAGUCUUAUGACGUCUUUCAGAUCGCGGCCAAUAUUAAUUUACGAUUUUGAAGGCAUUACUGCAAUGGAGUUCUCACAGUAAACUAAAAAUAAACAGCGAAAUUUACCAUCCUUAGAAUUCUCGUUUGUGACGAAACUAUUCAAAAUAAAAAGGAUAGCAUAAAUCGCUGGUUAACCUUGGUAGAAUGAUGUGAAAGGAUAAAAGCAGCAGUUUUUCCUUGA